rnacentral:lncRNA from 1 species
UUUUUUUAAAUCUAAUGUUUGCAAAAUUAUGAAUUAUUCGAAAUACUACGGAUUUUUCUAAUCCCAGUCAUAGACAACCUAAGCUGUAUUUGGCAUAUCUUUUUGGAUUGUUUUAGUUCUCGAUGCUCUUCAACAUUACACUUGUUUAGCUUUCUAACUAUUUUGAUCUGAGCGUCACUAAUGAGUCUUAUGUAGACUAAAGGAGUGUCUGGUAUAUCAAAUUAUAAGCCUGGUACCUUAAAGUAUACACAUAAAUAAACGGAGAGAACCAAGCCGGUGCAAAAACAUUCAAACAGAAACACUUAAACAUGUUAAGCAUUCCAGUACAUUAAAUCUGAAUAGCAUUAAAUAUAAAAACGAUGAGAUAUCAGUUAUGUGGGACGAGAGGAACCGAUUCUCAUUGGCUUCCAGAUUUCCCAUCGCUAGUUCUUAUACUCAUAUGAAGAAGAAUUGAUAAAAGGACACGACGAAUGGGGUCUACUAGAAUUUGUUACUUCCAUAGAUAUAGUGAUCAAAACAUCAAAACCUCAUACAUGCUAAUCCAUUUUUACAUUGAGUACUUACAUAUAUCACUAUUAACUGGAUACUGCAAAUUGUUCUAUUUAUGAUCAUAUCAAACGAAGUGAGAGGCAGUUGAUUAACUGUUUGCUGAUUGAUUAACACAGAUUUGCAAAUAAUCCGUACAUUUUGGGAUAAGAACAGAUUAACAAAAUGAUUUUCAAAGUGUAGCGAGUGGUAUAAAGAGUGCAAUUCAUAUGGUCAUCUGUAAUAAGGAAAUAAGAUAUUGACAAAUUCCACAGCUUGAUUAUGAUUUCUGAUAUCGGCAGUUAAAUUGCAAGCCAUACAAGUAGUCAAAGACACGUAUUGACAAUGUGGGUCGGUUGAAAACAAAGUUUUACGACAAUAAGAGAUGAUUUCAUCUUUCCAAUUGUGAACUUUCCAUUUCUAUGUAGCAAUAGUUUUGCAGCGCAUGAAUACGGAGUAUAUAUCUCCCAAUUGAUACGAUAUUCCCGGGCUUGUAUUUCCUAUCAUGAUAUCCUUGAUGACGGGUUGCUGCUCACAAGGAAGCUAUUAAACUAAGAGUUGAAAUCAACCCUUCGUAAGAUUUAUUCAUGCAAUCAUGAGUUGGUUGACUGUUAUGGAAUAUCCGUUUCACAUAUGAUGGCGGAUAUGUUCCAUGAGUAGCAAUUACAAUAUCGUACUCUUUAACGAAUAUGGCCUACCAAAUAAUACUUGUUACUGAGUUUGUACUUACACGAGCAACACGAUGGAUGCUACAUGUGAUCAGGAUCUGCUUACCUUUCCGGAACACAUGAGGUUACCCCUAGUUUUUGGUGAAUUUCGAGUUUAUUAGUCUUUAGGUUUUUCUUUUUUUAGUUUUUAGCCAUGGAAUUGUCAGUUUAUGUUCGACUUGUGAGUUUGGAUGUCCCUCUGUUAACUUUCGCUUCUUUGGUUUAAUAGCGGAAAUCUUUUACUUUCAUAGGUGUUUUUUAUUAUAUUUUCAAGUUUCACCCAUGGAUGAUCA